rnacentral:rRNA from 1 species
AGUGAACGCUGGCGGUAGGCCUAACACAUGCGAGUCGAACGGCAGCACAGGAGAGCUUGCUCUCUGGGUGGCGAGUGGCGGACGGGUGAGGAAUACAUCGGAAUCUACUCUGUCGUGGGGGAUAACGUAGGGAAACUUACGCUAAUACCGCAUACGACCUACGGGUGAAAGCAGGGGACCUUCGGGCCUUGCGCGAUUGAAUGAGCCGAUGUCGGAUUAGCUAGUUGGCGGGGUAAAGGCCCACCAAGGCGACGAUCCGUAGCUGGUCUGAGAGGAGAAUUAGCCACACUGGAACUGAGACACGGUCCAGACUCCUACGGGAGGCAGCAGUGGGGAAUAUUGGACAAUGGGCGCAAGCCUGAUCCAGCCAUACCGCGUGGGUGAAGAAGGCCUUCGGGUUGUAAAGCCCUUUUGUUGGGAAAGAAAUCCAGCUGGCUAAUACCCGGUUGGGAUGACGGUACCCAAAGAAUAAGCACCGGCUAACUUCGUGCCAGCCGCCGCAGUAA